rnacentral:rRNA from 1 species
UGCCUCAGUAACGGCGAGUGAAGCGGCAAAAGCUCAAAUUUGAAAUCUGGCCCCCCCCGCGGGGGUCCGAGUUGUAAUUUGCAGAGGAUGCUUUGGGCGCGGCGCCUUCCGAGUGCCUUGGAACAGGUCGCCUCAGAGGGUGAGAGCCCCGUACGGUUGGACGCCUAGCCCGUGUAAAGCUCCUUCAACGAGUCGAGUAGUUUGGGAAUGCUGCUCAAAAUGGGAGGUAAAUUCCUUCUAAAGCUAAAUACUGGCCAGAGACCGAUAGCGCACAAGUAGAGUGAUCGAAAGGUGAAAAGCACUUUGAAAAGAGAGUCAAAUAGCACGUGAAAUUGUUAAAAGGGAAGCGUCUGCGACCAGACGCGCCGCCCGCGGCUCACCCGGCGCCUCGGCGCCGGGGCACGCCGCGGGCGUCGGGCCAGCAUCGGCUCUGCCGUGGGUACAAGGACCGCGGGAACGUAGCUCCCUCGUGGAGUGUUAUAGCCCGCGGCACCAUGCCCGCGGCGGGGCCGAGG